AGAGACUAACUGCUAACUAGGAGUGUGAGAGACUAACUGCUAACUGGGAGGGUGAGAGACUAACUGCUAACUAGGAGGGUGAGAGACUAACUGCUAACUAGGAGGUGAGAAACUUACUGCUAACUGGGAGGGUGAGAGACUUACUGCUAACUAGGAGGGUGAGAGACUAACUGCUAACUGGGAGGUGAGAGACUAACUGCU